GCGUGAGUAGGGCGACCGCAGGAGGAGGAAGAAAAGAUGUUGAGAUGGCGAGGCGGGGGAGCGGCUCGGUGUGGGCUCGAUGACAAACGUAGCGGUAUGUAUGAGGGCACCAUCUGCACCCAAGACUGUGGAGGAGGGGGGACCAGUUGACCCUUUCGCAGUGACACAUUGAGUAGCUUCUUUUUAAAUUGCGCGGAAUGUGCUGCAAUUGCGAUACGUCGCGUUCUUUCGUUACUCCGCCUAACUGGGACGAGAAUGAUGCAAAUUACAAAACCUCGAUCGAUCGGUCAUUUCGUAAGGCUUUCCUUACCGAUUGCGUGGGAGGAUGUAGGGACGCUCCCGCCACGGUUUCCAGGGGACGGUACCGCGCCGCCGAUCAGACAUGUAGGUGCUCUACUAUAAGUGGCAUAUCGACGAUGGGACGACGUGGGGCUGGCUGGCACCGUUUCAACACUUUCGCUAUCACGCCGCUACGCAACGUCUACGCAGCAACCCGCGCUGAAUAAAUUGUUUAUAAUAAAA